UACGGAGGGUCCGAGCGUUAAUCGGAAUUACUGGGCGUAAAGCGCGCGUAGGCGGUCAGAUCAGUCAACUGUGAAAGCCCUGGGCUCAACCUGGGAACUGCAGCUGAUACUGUCUGACUAGAGUUUGGUAGAGGAGUGUGGAAUUUCCUGUGUAGCGGUGAAAUGCGUAGAUAUAGGAAGGAACACCAGUGGCGAAGGCGACACUCUGGACCAAAACUGACGCUGAGGUGCGAAAGCGUGGGGAGCAAACAGG
rnacentral:rRNA from 1 species